AGUAGGGAUCUUCCGCAAUGGACGAAAGUCUGACGGAGCAACGCCGCGUGAGUGAUGAAGGUUUUCGGAUCGUAAAACUCUGUUAUUAGGGAAGAACAAAUGUGUAAGUAACUGUGCACAUCUUGACGGUACCUAAUCAGAAAGCCACGGCUAACUACGUGCCAGCAGCCGCGGUAAUACGUAGGUGGCAAGCGUUAUCCGGAAUUAUUGGGCGUAAAGCGCGCGUAGGCGGUUUCUUAAGUCUGAUGUGAAAGCCCACGGCUCAACCGUGGAGGGUCAUUGGAAACUGGGAAACUUGAGUACAGAAGAGGAAAGUGGAAUUCCAUGUGUAGCGGUGAAAUGCGCAGAGAUAUGGAGGAACACCAGUGGCGAAGGCGACUUUCUGGUCUGUAACUGACGCUGAUGUGCGAAAGCGUGGGGAUCAAACAGGAUUAGAUACCCUGGUAGUCCACGCCGUAAACGAUGAGUGCUAAGUGUUAGGGGGUUUCCGCCCCUUAGUGCUGCAGCUAACGCAUUAAGCACUCCGCCUGGGGAGUACGACCGCAAGGUUGAAACUCAAAGGAAUUGACGGGGCUGCU
rnacentral:rRNA from 1 species